UCUGGUUGAUCCUGCCAGUAGUGAUAUGCUUGUUUCAAAGAUUAAGCCAUGCAUGUCUAAGUAUAAGCGAACUUAUACAGUGAAACUGCGGAUGGCUCAUUAAAACAGUUUGAAUUUAUUUGAUGAAUGUAUGAGAAUACUACUUGGAUAACCGUAGUAAUUCUAGAGCUAAUACAUGCAACGACGCCCGACCGUUUCACUACGGAAGGGCUAUAUUUAUUGGAUACCAAAACCAUCCUUCCCUCGGGAAGUUUUGUUUGAUGUUUCACAAUAACUGAUCGGAUCGCCACUGUGGUGGCGACAGGUCAUUCAACAUUCUGCCCUAUCAGCUUUCGAUGGUUGUGUAGUGGACAACCAUGGCCAUAACGGGUAACGGAGAAUCAGGGUUCGAUUCCGGAGAAGGAGCUUGAGAAUUGGCUACUACAUCUAAGGAAGGCAGCAGGCGCGCAAAUUACCCAAUCCCGAUUCGGGGAGGUAGUGACAAAAAAUAACAAUACCGGGCCUUUUUGGGCUUGGUAAUUGGAAUGAGGGGGAGUUAAACGGACCAUCGAGUAUCCAUUGGAGGGCAAGUCUGGUGCCAGCAGCUGCGGUAAUACCAGCUCCAAUAGCGUAUAUUAAAGUUGUUGCAGUUAAAAAGCUCGUAGUUGGACUUGUGUGCGCUGUCCGCGGGUGGCCUGCGCCCAAAAGGGCGUUUCGGUUCGGCCCCGGUGGCGCCUUGAAAUCUGCAGCUGGGGGGACGUUGGCCUUAACUGGUCGGCGACCGCACGCCGGCUGCUCGGUUACUGUGAGAAAAUUAGAGUGUUCAGGGCAGGCAUUGGGUGCAAUUGAAUACAUUAGCAUGGAAUAAUAAAAUAUGGCUCCUGCCGUAUUUUGUUGGUUUUGACUGGUGGGAGUAAUGAUUGAUAGGGACGGUUGGGGGUGCUAGUAUUGAGCGGCCAGAGGUGAAAUUCAUGGAUUCGCUCAAGACUAACUUAUGCGAAAGCAUUCACCAAGGACGUCCUCUUUAAUCAAGAACGAAAGUUGGGGGAUCGAAGACGAUCAGAUACCGUCGUAGUCUCAACCAUAAACUAUGUCGACUUGGGAUCGGCGGUAGUUUUUUCAUUAAGACACUGUCGGGACCACGGGAGAAAUCAAAGUGUCUGGACUCUGGGGGAAGUAUGGUCGCAAGGCUGAAACUUGAAGGAAUUGACGGAAGGGCACCACCAGGAGCGGAGCCU
rnacentral:rRNA from 1 species